rnacentral:rRNA from 1 species
GACGUAGGGGGCGAGCGUUGUCCGGAUUUAUUGGGCGUAAAGCGCGUGUAGGCGGCUCUGCAAGUCGGGUGUGAAAUCCCACGGCUCAACCGUGGAAGUGCAUUCGAAACUGCAGAGCUAGAGUCCUGGAGAGGAAGGUGGAAUGCUUGGUGUAGAGGUGAAAUUCGUAGAUAUCAAGCGGAACACCGGUGGCGAAGGCGGCCUUCUGGACAGUGACUGACGCUGAGACGCGAAAGCGUGGGGAGCAAACAGG